GGGCCCGUGGGUUAGUUUGGCUAUGCUUGGAGCUUUGGGAGCUUCUGACCCCGGUUCAAAUCCGGGCGGGCCCA
rnacentral:tRNA from 1 species